GUUUAUAGUGUUUAUUCCUUGACUUGUUGAUGUUCACUGGCAUCAGCAUGGGGGACUCAUGACACAGGGCACCCUGCCCCCCACCCGCAGCAAAGCAGAAGGCUGAUCCCCUCGGGCAGCAAGGGAAAGGCUCUGUUUACUGCAGCUGUGCCCGUUUUGGUGAGUAAAAGGGUCAGAGGACUUUUUGAGUGUUCCAGUCACAAUGCAGGACAUUUACUGAGCGAGGUUAAUAGCAAAUAUAUCAAACAUUUCAAAACUUAGGUUAGACAAUUAAUAUAAGGAUUCAGUAAACCAGAGCUCUUUUGAAUUGGUUCUCUAUUUCAUUCAAAAUAGGCUCUGACUGGGUAGGAAAGAGAAUCUGCUCAAAGUUGGCUUAUCAGUUAAUUAAUAGAUGAUGAUGUUGAAUAAGCAAGUAUAUGACAAGUGUUCAUUG
rnacentral:lncRNA from 1 species